UACAGAGGGUGCAAGCGUUAAUCGGAAUUACUGGGCGUAAAGCGUGCGCAGGCGGUUCGUUGUGUCGGCGGUGAAAUCCCCGGGCUCAACCUGGGAAUGGCCGUUGAAACUGGCGAACUGGAGUGUGGCAGAGGGGGGUGGAAUUCCGCGUGUAGCAGUGAAAUGCGUAGAGAUGAGGAGGAACACCGAUGGCGAAGGCAGCCCCCUGGGCUGACACUGACGCUCAGGUACGAAAGCGUGGGGAGCAAACAGG
rnacentral:rRNA from 1 species